rnacentral:tRNA from 1 species
GGGGCGGCGCCGACGCGGGAGAGUCGGGCCUGUCUGUAAAACAGGUGCAAUGCUGAGUGGGUUCGAAUCCCACCCGCCCCACC